CGCCCCGUCGCUACGGGGCGUGGCGCACGGCUGAGCAACACGUGGCUAACCUACCCUCGGGAGGGGGAUAACCUCUCGGGAAACUGGGGCUAAUCCCCCAUAGGCGGGGAGGCCUGGAAGGGUUCUCCGCCGAAAGGGAGCAUAGGGGGUUAUCGCCUGUGCUCCGCCCGAGGAUGGGGCUGCGGCCUAUCAGGUAGUUGGCGGGGUAAAGGCCCGCCAAGCCGAAGACGGGUAGGGGCCGUGAGAGCGGGAGCCCCCAGAUGGGCACUGAGACAAGGGCCCAGGCCCUACGGGGCGCACCAGGCGCGAAAACUCCGCAAUGCGGGAAACCGUGACGGGGCUACCCCGAGUGCCCUCCUUGUGGGGGCUUUUCCCCGCUGUAAGAAGGCGGGGGAAUAAGCGGGGGGCAAGUCUGGUGUCAGCCGCCGCGGUAAUACCAGCCCCGCGAGA
rnacentral:rRNA from 1 species